rnacentral:rRNA from 1 species
GACGAACGCUGGCGGCGUGCUUAACACAUGCAAGUCGAACGGUGAAGCGCCUUCCUUUUUGGUGGGUGUGGAUGAGUGGCGAACGGGUGAGUAACACGUGGGUAACCUGCCCCCUUCUUCUGGAUAACCGCAUGAAAGUGUGGCUAAUACGGGAUAUUCUGGGUCUGUCGCAUGAUGGGUCUGGGAAAGAUAUUGUUUCGGUGGGGGAUGGGCUCGCGGCCUAUCAGCUUGUUGGUGGGGUGAUGGCCUACCAAGGCGGUGACGGGUAGCCGGCCUGAGAGGGUGGACGGUCACACUGGGACUGAGACACGGCCCAGACUCCUACGGGAGGCAGCAGUGGGGAAUAGUGCACAAUGGGCGCAAGCCUGAUGCAGCGACGCCGCGUGAGGGAUGGAGGCCUUCGGGUUGUGAACCUCUUUCGCCAGUGAAGCAGGCCUGCCUCGUUUGUGGGUGGGUUGACGGUAGCUGGAUAAGAAGCGCCGGCUAACUACGUG